rnacentral:rRNA from 1 species
AGACCCGAAACCCGGUGAUCUAGCCAUGGGCAGGUUGAAGGUUGGGUAACACUAACUGGAGGACCGAACCGACUAAUGUUGAAAAAUUAGCGGAUGACCUGUGGCUGGGGGUGAAAGGCCAAUCAAACCGGGAGAUAGCUGGUUCUCCCCGAAAGCUAUUUAGGUAGCGCCUCGUGAAUUCAUCUCCGGGGGUAGAGCACUGUUUCGGCUAGGGGGCCAUCCCGGCUUACCAACCCGAUGCAAACUGCGAAUACCGGAGAAUGUUAUCACGGGAGACACACGGCGGGUGCUAACGUCCGUCGUGAAGAGGGAAACAACCCAGACCGCCAGCUAAGGUCCCAAAGUCAUGGUUAAGUGGGAAACGAUGUGGGAAGGCCCAGACAGCCAGGAUGUUGGCUUAGAAGCAGCCAUCAUUUAAAGAAAGCGUAAUAGCUCACUGGUCGAGUCGGCCUGCGCGGAAGAUGUAACGGGGCUAAACCAUGCACCGAAGCUGCGGCAGCGAACGUAUCACUUAAAGCGAUUCAGCGGGUUACGAUUGACGGAGCGAAGCGACGUCAAAGCGUAUACAAAGUCGAGUCGGUUUAAGGAUACGUUCGUUGGGUAGGGGAGCGUUCUGUAAGCCUGUGAAGGUGUGUCGUGAGGCAUGCUGGAGGUAUCAGAAGUGCGAAUGCUGACAUAAGUAACGAUAAAGCGGGUGAAAAGCCCGCUCGCCGGAAGACCAAGGGUUCCUGUCCAACGUUAAUCGGGGCAGGGUGAGUCGACCCCUAAGGCGAGGCCGAAAGGCGUAGUCGAUGGGAAACGGGUUAAUAUUCCCGUACUUGGUGUUACUGCGAAGGGGGGACGGAGAAGGCUAUGUUGGCCGGGCGACGGUUGUCCCGGUUUAAGCGUGUAGGUGUGUGUUCCAGGUAAAUCCGGUUCACUUUAACACUGAGGCGUGAUGACGAGG